rnacentral:rRNA from 1 species
UUUCUNNUGGGCGAAGCCUGAAGGAGCGACGCCGCGUGGGGGAUGAAUGGCUUCGGCCCGUAAACCCCUGUCAUUUGCGAACAAAUUGGUUCAAUUAACACCUGAACCAUUGAUAGUAGCGGAAGAGGAAGGGACGGCUAACUCUGUGCCAGCAGCCGCGGUAAUACAGAGGUCCCAAGCGUUGUUCGGAUUCACUGGGCGUAAAGGGUGCGUAGGCGGUCGGGUAAGUCUGAUGUGAAAUCCCGCAGCUUAACUGCGGAACGGCAUUGGAUACUAUUCGGCUCGAGGAAUGGAGGGGAGACUGGAAUUCUCGGUGUAGCAGCGAAAUGCGUAGAUAUCGAGAGGGACACCAGUGGCGAAGGCGAGUCUCUGGACAUUUCCUGACGCUGAGGCACGAAAGCCAGGGGAGCAAACGGGAUUAGAUACCCCGGUAGUCCUGGCCCUAAACGGUGCGCAUUUGCUGUGAGCGGAAUCGACCCCGCUCGUGGCGAAGCUAACGCGUUAAAUGCGCCGCCUGGGAAGUACGGCCGCAAGGUUAAAACUCAAAAAAAUUGACGGA